CCUACGGGAGGCAGCAGUGGGGAAUAUUGGACAAUGGGCGAAAGCCUGAUCCAGCAAUACCGCGUGUGUGAAGAAGGCCUUCGGGUUGUAAAGCACUUUAAGCAGGGAAGAAAAAAUUCAAGCUAACAUCUUGAGUCUUGACGGUACCUGAAGAAUAAGCACCGGCUAACUCUGUGCCAGCAGCCGCGGUAAUACAGAGGGUGCAAGCGUUAAUCGGAUUUACUGGGCGUAAAGCGUGUGUAGGUGGUUGGGAAAGUCAAUUGUGAAAGCCCCGGGCUCAACUCGGGAACUGCUUUUGAUACUGUCUGACUAGAAUUCGGUAGAGGGAGGCGGAACUCCAGGUGUAGCGGUGAAAUGCGUAGAUAUCUGGAAGAACACCAAUGGCGAAGGCAACCUCCUGGGCCUGAAUUGACACUGAGACACGAAAGCGUGGGGAUCAAACAGGAUUAGAUACCCUGGUAGUCCACGCCGUAAACGAUGACAACUUGACGUCGGUUUGCUCUGCGAAUCGGUGUCGUAGCUAACGCGAUAAGUUGUCCGCCUGGGGAGUACGGCCGCAAGGUUGAAACUCAAAGUAGUAGUGGCGUGNGAGAGCGACGACGACGACGACGGAGGAGGAGG
rnacentral:rRNA from 1 species